rnacentral:lncRNA from 1 species
UGCUCACUCCAUAGUCAAGCUCAGUCCCUUAAUCUGUGUGCUUAUGAGCUGGUACUUAUCAACUCUGGUACCCAAGAGAGUCUCAUCUGACUCAGUGAACAGGGUACUCUAUAUCACUUAAAAACAAAACAACAAAACAAAACAAACAAACAAACAAAACCAAUUCUCUUUGACACUUUUUUACAGCUUCCAAGUUUUUGAACCCUGGAAAGUCUCUUUAGUACAGAUCUUUUUCUCAUAUCCUGCUUUAACAAACAGAAAGACAGCAUCCCCUGCUCAUCCUCUUACUGCACUUUUCCACUGUGCAGUCAUCUCAGCCUAAAACACAUUUUUUAUUUCUUUCCUACACACGACAGUGGACACCACAACCUCUAUGGCAGCCUGUGGACACUCGCAUUCCUAAUAUGUUGCUCUCACAAACUGGAAUUUUUAUUUUAAAUCUUUAAGUUUAUCAGAGCACCUCUGUACCCCCACACCAGAAUGCAUUCGCCAAACUGGCAUGCCACUCUGUAAAGAAGAUAGCCUCACCAGGAUUUCUCAUACACCGCUCACCCAGACUUCCCACUGGAUAAGUGCUGCCUGUGCCCUGGACCCUACCUGCCUUUGGGGAUUAGAGAGCCUCUAAUUGGGAGGAAGAUUCACAUGGCCAGGCUGGGAUGCAAGUGUUGCCCAUGAAACUGUCCAUGCCAGAGCCCGAGCUGAAGAGAGGCCAAAGGGAGAUGUCUGUGCUGAGCAGUCCUCCACUCCGGAGAUGUCUGUGCUGAGCAGUCCUCCACUCUGGAGAUGACAUCUAUGCCGAGCAGUCCUCCACUCUGGAGAUGUCUGUGCCGGGCAGUCCUCCACUCUGGAGGGUGUGCUGGAGCAGCGGCAGCAAAACUCUGUGUCUGACAUGAUAAAAAAGGCUUUAAUAAAAUCAUUUAAUCUAAAAUCCAA